CAUUGGGCAAGAGAGUGCCCCAUCCUGGUGUUCUUUGAGACCUUACUCCAGGGCUACUGGACUGUCCUAGCCACCAGAGAGUGGGUAAGCCAUCCUAACUUCUAGCCCUCACAGGAAAUGCCAGCACUGCCAGAUUCGUCGCCAACAGAUAAACUUGCUGCCAAAGACUGAGGGGGCUCAGGGCCAACAGCCUCCUUUAUGGGUCCAAGUCCCACUAAAACUCUCAGAAUUCCACCUCAUCGUGACAAUGACCCUACCUCAACAUCAUCCUGACAUAAUGACAUGUCUAAAUCAAAGUCUAACAUAUGUGCAUUCACCAGUGAAGUCAUCCUGGCUAAAACACCUGGCACCAGCUUCUACCUGGGCAUCAACCAUCAUCCCGUUGACUCCCCUAGACCCCAGUACAGUGCCCUCUGCCAGCAGGAAGUAGUUAAAGAGAGAAAUCUUCACCCCUUUUCAUAAUAAUAAUCAUAAGACGAGAUAUGAAAGGGUUUGGACCCAGACAGGAGUCUGUAGCCAGUGAAGCCUUAGAGGCGGAACCAAGGAGCUCCUAUCUCCCCCACCCCUAAGAAUUUACCUGUGACUCCAUCUUCCCCACCCCCUAGGAAUUUACCUAUGGUGCCAAACAAAGACCAAUGGGCUACCCGUGCAUCCCUGAUUCCCCCUUAGGUUGCAUCCCUGCUACUUAUGUGCCUCACUCCAGGUGUUCCACAGAGAGAUCACCGA